GAUGAACGCUGGCGGCGUGCUUAACACAUGCAAGUCGAACGAUGAAGCCCAGCUUGCUGGGUGGAUUAGUGGCGAACGGGUGAGUAACACGUGAGUAACCUGCCCUUAACUCUGGGAUAAGCCUGGGAAACUGGGUCUAAUACCGGACAGGAGCGUCCACCGCACGGAGGGUGUUGGAAAGAUUUAUCGGUUUUGGAUGGACUAGCGGCCUAUCAGCUUGUUGGUGAGGUAAUGGCUCACCAAGGCGACGACGGGUAGCCGGCCUGAGAGGGUGACCGGCCACACUGGGACUGAGACACGGCCCAGACUCCUACGGGAGGCAGCAGUGGGGAAUAUUGCACAAUGGGCGCAAGCCUGAUGCAGCGACGCCGCGUGAGGGAUGACGGCCUUCGGGUUGUAAACCUCUUUCAGUAGGGAAGAAGCGAAAGUGACGGUACCUGCAGAAGAAGCACCGGCUAACUACGUG
rnacentral:rRNA from 1 species